rnacentral:rRNA from 1 species
AGAGUUUGAUCAUGGCUCAGAACGUACGCUGGCGGCACGCCUAACACAUGCAAGUCUAACGAAGUGCAAUACUUAAUGGCAGACGGUGAGUAACAUGUAGGUAUCUGCCCUUUGGCCUGGAAUAACACCAGGAACUUGUGCUGAUACUGGAUAAGUCUUUACGGAGAAAGCUUUAUGCACCAUUGGAUGAGCCUGCACUUGAUUAGUUUGUUGGUGGGGUUACCGCCUACCCAAACUGUGAUCCAUAGCUGAUUUGAGAGGAUGAUCUGCCGCCUUGGGACUGAGACACGGCCCAAACUCCUACCGGAGGCAGCAAUGGGGAAUCUUGCGCGAUGGAGGAAACUCUCAUGC